rnacentral:rRNA from 1 species
UACGUAGGGAGCAAGCGUUGUUCGGAUUUACUGGGCGUAAAGAGCUCGUAGGUGGUUUGUCGCGUUGUUCGUGAAAACUCACAGCUCAACUGUGGGCGUGCGGGCGAUACGGGCAGACUGGAGUACUGCAGGGGAGACUGGAAUUCCUGGUGUAGCGGUGAAAUGCGCAGAUAUCAGGAGGAACACCGGUGGCGAAGGCGGGUCUCUGGGCCGAUACUGACGUGAGGAGCGAAAGCGUGGGGAGCGAACAGG